CCCAGUUCCUAUCUAAUGGGCUAUGGGUCGUAGCAUCCACAUGAAGUCUGAUCCAAUAUCUUUUUGUUUUUGCUAAGUUUGAUUGGACUGAAAAUGUCGAAAACAUGCUAGAAAUAGAGGGAAUAAAUUCAUUUGUUUAGUAUGAAAUGGUAGAAGUUGCAAGGAAGUCAAGUGAUACCGAAUUAUUUGAAUGUAAUUGUUAAUGUUUACGUAUAAACAUAUAGUCGAGGUUCAUUAUAUUUAUAUUAUUGUUUAUUAUUAGAUAGUAAUAUCAUAGGUCAUUUAUAAUACGAACACGUAAAAUUUAUCAUGGGCUCAUUUUCAUGAACCGAUUUGUUUAGCUUUCAAGCUCAUAUACGUAGAUAGAUUGACUGGGGGAAAAAAGAUCAGUUGGAUUUUGUAAUCAUAGCCACAUGUUUUCAUGAAAAUCUAUUAAAAAAUUCGAUAACAAGUAUAAGUUUGAAGUUGGACUCUCUUAUUUUGUAAAACAAGUUUAAUGAAAUCAAGUGACUGCUUAAUAAUUAAUUAUUAAGUUAAUUUAAUUUUUUUUAAUAAAUGAUCUACGUUCAUAGAUUUAAAGAAUUAUUAAACGGAAGUCAGCUUGUGAUGAGUCCAACGAAAUGAAAUAGGAUGUUGUAGUUCAAAGACAAGUCAUUUUCUUUUCGUUUAUAUUUGUUUUUUAAUUUUAGGCUGUAAUUACAAAGGAAAAAGGAAAGGAAAAAAGGUAAUGAAUCUAACAGAUUAAAUUUAAUUUGUUAGAUACCUUCUAGUGUGUUGAAUAAUUAAUUAUCUAUUAGCUCAAACUCAUCUCUGUUUUAAAUUCCAAAGAUGUAUAACUACUUAAACUAAGCUCAAGCUUAAUAUCAAACAUAGAAUUAAUAACACAUAUUAUAAAAGCAAAAAAACUAAGUGAGUGAACUUAAAAAUUAGCCAUGCAUAAUAUAUAAUUUAUCCCACAUGUGAAAAUAUUAGACUUAUCUCACAUCGCUUAUCUCAUCCAACAAACUUAAUUUUAAAUUAGACUCCUCAACCCUUUUCUCUAACAUGAUAUCCAAAAUAUAUACUUUGAGUGAUUCUCUCAGUAGUGAUCAUGUCUCUACUUAAGUCUCUAUCUCUCUUCUCAUCAACUCCAAGUUCAUCCUCUUAAUCUACUGCCUACCUUACCUUGUGCUAUGUGGCCAUUGCUUCUUAGCACAAGUAAUAAUUAAAAAAGUAUCUUAUUUUCAUAGACCAGAUAUGUGUGUUGAUGAUAUUAUCUAAGGUGUUUCAAAAAUUCGAAAUAUGGUUAAAUAAAACCCUAGAAUGUGGUUUGGUUCUAUAGUUUAGAUGGUUCAAUUCUCAUUUUAGAAAUAGAAAAUUGAGGAUGUUUGGCUUUGGUAUUUACUCUCUGCUUUAUAUAUUGAAUCUCCAUUAUUCUAUUUUGAGAUGUUUAAGAAUCCAUUUAUCUUUUUUUUCAUAUAUUAUUUAAGUAACAUUCAACCAAAUAAAAAAUUAAAUGUAAUAAUUACUAUGUUAAAAUUAAAAAUUCAGUAAAAAGUAAAUGUUAUGAUUGUGUUUCCUUAAAAAUUAAAUUGAAUUCUCCGAAAAAGACCUUCAAUAUAGGACUAAGUGAAUAUAUAUUAAAACUUGAAUGCUUCGUUACGUUUAUGCUAUGGAAUGUUUAUAUUAUCACCCUCUCGAUAACCAUAGUAAUAUUCUUAUCUCACAUUAUUCUAACGAUGAACACAAAAUAAUAGAGACAAGUUUAGAGACGAUGUAUAGAAUUAAAAGGGUGAGAAAAUUUGCAAUAUUUAGUUAAUUUUUUUAAAUUCAAUUUUACAAAGUUAUUUUUCAAAAUUUAUUUGAUUGACUAUUGAAAACACGCUCUCUAUAAUUUUUUUCAAGAAAAAACUCAAUUUUUAGCAUAAAUUAAAAUAUACCAUAUUUAAACUGUCAAAAACCAUUCCCACUGGAGGAUAAAUAAUAUAUGUUAUCUAACACGUUUUCUCUGUAAUGUUGUCAACAAUAAUAUACGAAAAGACAAAGUAUAUUUAAGAGCCCCCACUAUGCUUGUGUUUCUCUCUCGUCGCAAUAAUUACUUAUUAAAGUACGAGAAAAGACAAAGUACACGUGAGAUAGGAAAACGACUACUCUAACAAUUUAGGUCUCAUUUGGCUGGAGGAUUUGGAGGGGUAUAAUUUUUUUCCCGGAUAACUUUUUUCUCGGAAUGUUUGGCUAGCGGAUAUGCCCCCGGAUAAGUUAUGCCCCCGAAGGUAGAUAAUUUUUGGGUUGCCUAGACCCCUAACUAAAAAUUAUCCGGGGGAUAAGGGAUACCGCCCCCCUCUCUCCCCCGCCCCCCCCUGUCUCCUUUCUCGUCUCCUCUAUCUACAUCUCUCAGCCCUGCCCACUCUUUUUCCUCUAUCCCUCUUUUCUCUUUUCUUUUCUCUCAUUCCUUUUCUUCCUUCCUCCUAACCUACCUUAUCCACUCAUUCUAAAAAAGUAUCCAAAACAAAAGUUAAAAGUUAUCCCAUCCAAAGUUAUCACCUCUAAAAAGUUUCCUCCCCUAAAAAUUAUGCUGCCUCCCUUAUCCUCAGCCAAACGGGCCCUUGGGGUAAGGUAAAUGUUACGUAGUACGUACCCCCACCAAUUGAAAUAACACCGACACCCAUAGUUAUGAAAACGGACGAACCGGCAGGUUCAACCGGUUCAAUCGAAACUGGGCACUAAAUCGGUUCGGACACAACAUUUUAUCGCAUCGGAAAAAUGCAAGCCAACCGGAUUGAACCGGUUUGAAUCGGCCGAUUUUUUUUUUUUAACAGAAAAAAUAAAGUUUUAAUUUUUACAGUUUGACCCAAAAAUUUUAAUUAAAGUUUUACUUUUUACAAUGACCCCAAAAUUUGAAUUAAAUUAUUUUUUUAAUCGUUUUCUAAAUUAAUUUUUACUAUGAAUGGGUAAUAAAAAAAUUUUUUUUUUUUUUAUAAUAAAAAUAUAAUUUUAUUAUAUUAAUUAUAAAUCCGGUUGAACCGUGGUUGUUUGAACCCAAGGGAACCGUGUGAACCAGUAUUUUGACCGGUUCAAUGUCCGGUUCGGUUCUGAUAACUAUGCCGCGACACCCCUUAAUAUCUGAAAAGGGUAAUGCUAUGAGUACAUUCAAUUUACACCCUAAAUGCAUAUUUGAUGAGGUGGAGUAUUUAAAUUGGUUGGGUGUGGGGUCCACACAGUCCUUUCACCCCACACAUAGCCAAUCUAAAUACUUCAUCUCAUCAGGGGUGCAAGUUGGAUGUACCAUAGCAUUUCUCAUAUCUGAAAACGGUAAAUUUUGACUGACCUCGCAUGAUAUUUUUGAAUCAAAAUCCAACACGUGUACAUUAGUCCAAUUCCUAUUUAAUGGGCUAUUGGGGCCAUAGCCCCUGCAUGUUUCCUCUCGCUGCAUCCACAUGGAGACUGAUCUAAUGUCCCUUUCUUAUCUGUCCUUUCUUUCUUUUUUCAUUAAUUCAAAAGAGGUGAUCAGAUGUGGCGCACCCAUUGUAAUACCAUGGGAGCGUCCCUGAGGGCUCACUACAAUCACAUAAUUUUUUUCAAAUUAUGUCUUAUUUAUUUUUGAAAUCACUCAGCCACAAAAUAUGUGGCUGUGGUGAGGCCACGGAGGGCGCUCCCAUGAUAUUAUCACGGACACGCACCUAUCUGAUCACCACUCUUAAUUUAAUGCGAUGCUCGGAAAAGGUACAAUGGAGUCUUACACGAAUCUCGUAAGUGUUUGCAAUAGUUUAUCUCCUUUAAUUCAUAAACCAUAUAUAAUACUUUAUAUACCGAAGGCAUUAUGAAAUCUAAAAUAUUCCUAAAAUUAUAAUUUAGGUUCGAGUCAAAAAAUUCACAACUACGACCUACAAGCUGAUGAGAUACCAACAUACAUACACCACAAUCAUAUGGUCCUCACUGAUCUCUCUUCUCGACGCCUACACAUGCAUUAUAUGCGCAUAAAAUAUUUGAAGUGUUAAACUAAUCCCAUAUCAAAUAGUUUUGGGAAUACUCCACCUCAUGCUAAUGAUCUUUACUUUACAAUAACAAUUUGUACUACUACAAACAAUUCGCCUUGCUAGAUGCAUUAAAUUGAACUUUCAAGUUCCAAAUUUCUAUUUUGGGAAUUAAAAAGCUUUUUUAAUUGUGCUAUCUGAAAUGACCUUUGGUUUUAACACAUGUAAUAAUUAAAAAAUAUCUUAGCUUUAUCGCCAAAUAUGUGUGUUGAUGAUAUUAUCUAGGGGUGUCUGAAAAUUUAAAAAAAAAACGAUAAAUCAGAUCAAACCAAAUUGGAUCGAACCGUAUGGCUGGUGUGGUCCGGUUCUACGAUUUAGAUUGUUUCAAUACUAAUUUUAAAAAAUAUUAAAUUGGUCUAUAUAGUUCAGUCUUAGUUCUUUAUUUCAGAAUUGUGGUUCAAAAUAAACUGGGCCUGUUUUGUUAAGAACAGAGUUCUGUAACUGGAAUUGAUAUUGCUGAUAGCUGGAAGAAGAAAGAAGAAAAUAGAUUUCCCUAUUCGAGCUAGGGAUAAAGCUCUUAAAAGAACCAAGUAAAGACGGAAUUUUUCAUUCCCUUCUGAAUCAAUGUUACAUUCUUUAUAUUGCUGGACGUUUGACAAGAAUUCAAGGAAUGAUAUCUAACAGUUUUAAACACUAACUGAAUUAACCCAUUCUUGAUAUUGCCCAUGCUUCAGUUAUCUGUUAGCAUAGUUAUUUUGCCAUGCUUUACAUCAUGUUCCUGUCUUUUAAGUCUUAAUCUUUCAUUCAUUCUGGCCUUUUGAUACUCCUUCUUGUUCUAUCAUCCGCUACAAAGCUGUUCUCUCCUACUACCACUGCAUUCGUAACAUGUUUACGUACAUACAUAGCGUGUAUGUGUAAGUUAAACCCAUCCUAACCUUCCUAAUUUAUUUUAUAUUGAGGUAUCAUUACUUAUUGUUUGAUGUUGUAUGAAUUUUUUGGGUUUUCGAUUUUUGCGGUUGUUAUGCUUAGUUUUUUCUAAAGUGGAAU
rnacentral:lncRNA from 1 species